rnacentral:rRNA from 1 species
AUGGAAGAGGAGCUGGAUGAGGCGGUCAUUUGGGUGGAGGAGGCGAAGUCUUUUGAGGCAGAUGCAAAGUGGAUGGCAAUAGCUAGGGUUAACACAGACCGACCCUUCAGCUCGUCUACUUUUGACAACAUGAAGUUCGUAUGGGGGCUUGUGCAGACCCCAAAAUUCUGAGAGGCAGGUGCAAAUUUGUUCAUCUUCCAGAUGUUCUGCCUUGGAGAUUGGAGAAAGGUGGUCCAUGGAGGCCCUUGGCUGUUCAGGAACUUGGCGGUGGUGAUUGAGGAUUAUGAUGGGAAAACAGGUCUAGAGGAAAUUGUGCUAGACGGUCUGUUUGUUUGGGCUCAAAUUCACAAGGUGCCGGAGGUAUAUCGCCAUGAACAGGUGGUUGAACAGCUAGCUCGUAGGAUUGGAAAGGUUAGAGAGGUGCAACUCCGGCCAACUUUGUACUAUGAAGGAGAUUAUGUGAGGGUGAGGGAUAGGGUUCUAACUGCUAAACCCUUGACCCGUUUCAUCCCGCUCACCAUGAGUGGGGAGGGUACACGGAUGCUGAUGGUGAAAUACUGCAAGGUGUGUGGUCUGAUGGGUCAUGGUUAUGAUGAAUGUGGUAAUGGUGUUUGGAAAGAGGAGGAUAAGAAGUGGGGGUCUUGGAUGAUAGCAAAACGCAGAUCCGUCGACUACAGUCAGCCUUCGAGGGGGGGGGGAGGGUUCUUCAGGGGAGACCGCGGCCGUGGGCGAGCUAGGAAUCUCGGUCGUACACCGGUAGGCGGCAGAAGUACUGCAACCCAGUAUGAAGAUGGAGCAGAUGAGCAAGAAGCAAAUUAG